rnacentral:rRNA from 1 species
GACGAACGCGGCGGCGUGCCUAAUACAUGCAAGUAGAACGCUGAAGGGAGAGCUUGCUCUUCUGGAUGAGUUGCGAACGGGUGAGUAACGCGUAGGUAACCUGCCUGGUAGCGGGGGAUAACUAUUGGAAACGAUAGCUAAUACCGCAUAACAUUGACUAUUGCAUGAUAAUCAACUGAAAGGUGCAAAUGCACCACUACCAGAUGGACCUGCGUUGUAUUAGCUAGUUGGUGGGGUAACGGCUCACCAAGGCGACGAUACAUAGCCGACCUGAGAGGGUGAUCGGCCACACUGGGACUGAGACACGGCCCAGACUCCUACGGGAGGCAGCAGUAGGGAAUCUUCGGCAAUGGACGGAAGUCUGACCGAGCAACGCCGCGUGAGUGAAGAAGGUUUUCGGAUCGUAAAGCUCUGUUGUAAGAGAAGAAACGAAGUGUGAAGAAGUGGAAAAGUUCAACAACUGGG